rnacentral:rRNA from 1 species
GGCUAACUCCGUGCCAGCAGCCGCGGUAAUACGGAGGGUGCGAGCGUUAAUCGGAAUUACUGGGCGUAAAGGGUGCGUAGGUGGUUGAUUAAGUUAUCUGUGAAAUUCCUGGGCUUAACCUGGGACGGUCAGAUAAUACUGGUUGACUCGAGUAUGGGAGAGGGUAGUGGAAUUUCCGGUGUAGCGGUGAAAUGCGUAGAGAUCGGAAGGAACACCAGUGGCGAAGGCGGCUACCUGGCCUAAUACUGACACUGAGGCACGAAAGCGUGGGGAGCAAACAGGAUUAGAUACCCUGGUAGUCCACGCUGUAAA